GAAAUGCGAUAAGUAAUGUGAAUUGCAGAAUUCCGCGAAUCAUCGAAUCUUUGAACGCACAUUGCGCCCUCUGGCAUUCCGGGGGGCAUGCCUGUCCGAGCGUCAUUACGCACCCUCAAGCCCGGCUUGUGUGAUGGGCCCCGGCGUCUCGUUCGCGAGACGGGCCCGAAAGGCAGCGGCGGCGUCGACCCGAUGAGCCCGAGCGUAUGGGGACUUCUGUCACACGUUCGCGGUGCGGACCGGCGCCUGCUUGACUUUUCUGAUUAUCCAGGUUGACCUCGGAUCAGGUAGGGAUACCCGCUGAACUUAAGC
rnacentral:misc_RNA from 1 species